rnacentral:lncRNA from 1 species
GGUGGGUUCAGACAAUCUACUCUGAUAUUAAAGGCUGCAUUAUUAAUAAUGGAUGGGUUUCCUCCCGUUUUAGGGCAUCUCGCGGGAUCCGACAAGGAUGUCCGUUAUCAUCGUUACUAUUUGUUCUAGCUGUAGAAGUUAUGGCAAUAAAGAUAAGGGAAAAUAAAAACUUAAAAGGACUAGAAAUAAAAUUAGACGGUAAGAGUAAUACCCUGAAAAUCUGCCAAUUAGCUGACGAC